rnacentral:rRNA from 1 species
UACGUAGGGUGCAAGCGUUGUCCGGAAUUAUUGGGCGUAAAGAGCUCGUAGGCGGUUUGUCGCGUCUGCUGUGAAAUCCCAGGGCUUAACCCUGGGCCUGCAGUGGGUACGGGCAAACUAGAGUGCGGUAGGGGAGAUCGGAAUUCCUGGUGUAGCGGUGAAAUGCGCAGAUAUCAGGAGGAACACCGGUGGCGAAGGCGGAUCUCUGGGCAACAACUGACGCUGAGGAGCGAAAGCGUGGGGAGCAAACAGG